rnacentral:rRNA from 1 species
CUACGGGUUGCUGCAGUCGAGAAUAGUCUACAAUGGACGAAAGUCUGAUAGUGCGACGCCGCGUGGAUGAAGAAGCAUUUCGGUGUGUAAAAUCCUUUUCUGUGUGAGCAAUACCUCUUAAGUUAAUAGCUUGAGAGGGGAGAUAUUAGCACAGGAAUAAGCUCCGGCUAACUCCGUGCCAGCAGCCGCGGUAACGCGGGGGGAGCAAGCGUUGUCCGGAAUCACUAGGCGUAAAGGGCAAGUAGGCGGAAUUAUAAGUCAGUUGUUAAAGGCAUCGGCUCAACCGGUGUAUGGCAUUUGAUACUGUAAUUCUAGAGUAAGGUGGGGGAAGACGGAAUUCCUGGUGUAGCGGUGGAAUGCGCAGAUAUCAGGAAGAACACCGGUGGCGAAGGCGGUCUUCUAUACCAUUACUGACGCUCAAUUGCGAAGGUGUGGGUAUCGAACAGGAUUAGAUACCCGCGUAGUC